rnacentral:ncRNA from 2 species
GGUUGAGGUAGAGGAGCGAUACCUAAUAGUAGCUAUAUGGAGGUCGGAAACCUUAGAAGUAUAGUGAAAGGAGUUAUCGCCGAAGCGAUAGAUACCAAAAUCUAUUGCUGGGUCUACAUCUAAUAGGUGUAGGACUGUCAUCAGGUGGUUGCCCUGCUAUCUGAUGGAGUGCUAUCUCAUUA